UGGGGAAUAUUGGACAAUGGGCGAAAGCCUGAUCCAGCAAUACCGCGUGUGUGAAGAAGGCCUUCGGGUUGUAAAGCACUUUAAGUUGGGAAGAAAAAACUUUACCUAAUACGUGAAGUCUUGACGGUACCGACAGAAUAAGCACCGGCUAACUCUGUGCCAGCAGCCGCGGUAAUACAGAGGGUGCUAGCGUUAAUCGGAUUUACUGGGCGUAAAGCGUGCGUAGGUGGUUUGAUAAGGCGGUUGUGAAAGCCCCGGGAUCAACCUGGGAAUUGCGGCCGAUACUGUCAGACUCGAAAACGGUAGAGGGAGGUGGAACUCCAGGUGUAGCGGUGAAAUGCGUAGAUAUCUGGAAGAACAUCGAUGGCGAAGGCAGCCUCCUGGGCCUGUUUUGACACUGAGGCACGAAAGCGUGGGUAGCAAACA
rnacentral:rRNA from 1 species